rnacentral:tRNA from 1 species
UCCCUGGAGGUCCAGUGGCUAAGACUCUGCACUUUCACUGCAGGGGGGGGAGGUGCAGGUUCAACUCCUGGUCAGGAAA